rnacentral:rRNA from 1 species
GGCGGACGGGUGAGUAACGCGUGGGUAACCUGCCUUACACAGGGGGAUAACACCUGGAAACAGGUGCUAAUACCGCAUAAGCGCACAGGGCCGCAUGGCCCGGUGUGAAAAACUCCGGUGGUGUAAGAUGGACCCGCGUCUGAUUAGCUUGUUGGCGGGGUAGGGGCCCACCAAGGCGACGAUCAGUAGCCGGCCUGAGAGGGUGGACGGCCACAUUGGGACUGAGACACGGCCCAA